CAGCCGCCGCGGGAAUACGGAGGGAGCUAGCGUUGUUCGGAAUUACUGGGCGUAAAGCGCGCGUAGGCGGUUACUCAAGUCAGAGGUGAAAGCCCGGGGCUCAACCCCGGAACUGCCUUUGAAACUAGGUGACUAGAAUCUUGGAGAGGUCAGUGGAAUUCCGAGUGUAGAGGUGAAAUUCGUAGAUAUUCGGAAGAACACCAGUGGCGAAGGCGACUGACUGGACAAGUAUUGACGCUGAGGUGCGAAAGCGUGGGGAGCAAACAGGAUUAGAGACCCCUGUAGUCCCUGUCUCUUAUAC
rnacentral:rRNA from 1 species